rnacentral:lncRNA from 10 species
ACCGUUCAGCGUGUCUCCCAGAGCUGCUGCGCUGGAGCUGAGGGAGCGCGCAGAGCGGGGCGGUUGGGCGGGGCCUCUGUGUAAGCUGCGGGGCUUCGCGGGCUUUGGGUUGGGGAAUGAAUGGCGUGGACCGUACUUGUCAAAUGGAAGGAGUCGCAAAAAUUUCGAUUGCACAAGUGUUUCAUCCAUCCCUCCAUUUACUCCAGAAGUCUGUACAAUGUCAAUGACUGCUGUGUGCUGGCACCCACCUGGCACAACGACUGUGCUCCCUGCGUACCCGCACUUGAUGGAUACAGCAGUUCAUGAAGGAAAUGGGGACUAGGGGAUGUGAAAGAUGUUCCUGGAACCUCCCUCCUUGCUCACAGCCCCCAUUUCCCUAUCCCCUCACCCCACCACCAAAAUUCAUAUAGGAGAUGUCGGUAUCUAGCAGGAAUGGCACCAGGUUGUCUCUAGGGUUACCAUUCCAUGCUCCUCUGUUAUCCAGAGGACCCGUACUUACCCCAUGCGCAUUCAUCUGAGGGUCAUGUAAUGGCCUUUUUUAGUGUCAAUGUCCUCCUAAGACUGUAUGAUCUAGGAUGGUAGAGACAAGGUCUUGCUCACACUUGAGUCCCCUGACAGUUGAAUACCCAGAUCCUAACGCAGAGUUUGGCCCAGGUAAGAUUCAGAUUUACCUCAAUAUAAGAAACACAAAUGAGCAGCUACUCUGUACAGUAGGCUAUGUGAUAUAUAGCAUACAAAAAUAGGCUAAGUCCGCUUUCUAGGAGCUCACAGUCUAGGAGGGUUGGAACGCUUUUCAUAAGAUAAGGUGAGGAAAGGGGGCACUCAACAAAGGAG